rnacentral:rRNA from 1 species
UGGGGAAUUUUGGACAAUGGGGGAAACCCUGAUCCAGCCAUCCCGCGUGUGCGAUGAAGGCCUUCGGGUUGUAAAGCACUUUUGGCAGGAAAGAAACGUCAUGGGUUAAUACCCUGUGAAACUGACGGUACCUGCAGAAUAAGCACCGGCUAACUACGUGCCAGCAGCCGCGGUAAUACGUAGGGUGCAAGCGUUAAUCGGAAUUACUGGGCGUAAAGCGUGCGCAGGCGGUUCGGAAAGAAAGAUGUGAAAUCCCAGAGCUCAACUGUGGAGCUGCAUUUUUAACUACCGGGCUAGGGUGUGUCAGAGGGGUGUGGAAUUCCGCGUGUAGCAGUGAAAUGCGUAGAUAUGCGGAGGAACACCGAUGGCGAAGGCAGCCUCCUGAGAUAACACUGACGCUCAUGCACGAAAGCGUGGGGAGCAAACAGG